UACGGAGGGUGCAAGCGUUGUCCGGAUUUAUUGGGUUUAAAGGGUGCGUAGGCGGUUAUUUAAGUCAGAGGUGAAAGUCUGCGGCUCAACCGUAGGAUUGCCUUUGAUACUGGAUAACUUGAAUAUAGUUGAGGUAGGCGGAAUUGACAGUGUAGCGGUGAAAUGCUUAGAUAUUGUCAAGAACACCGAUUGCGAAGGCAGCUUACUAAGCUACAAUUGACGCUGAGGCACGAAAGUGUGGGGAUCAAACAGG
rnacentral:misc_RNA from 1 species